CUUUUCUAUUUUUAUAUAUUUAAAAAUAUAAAUUAUUCCUGUUAAAAUCAUUUGAAUAUGCUGAUUUGGAGCUCAGGACACACUUGGACACACCAAUUUAUACUUCUGCGUCCGGUGCACAUUGACGUGUACCAUACGUCGUACCCUUCGCCGUACCCUGACGCGCACCUCCUCAAAAAUGUAACUACGCGUCGCAACGACUGCAAGAUCUGUGAUUGGUCGGCUUGGUAGUAUCACGUUUCCUCCUACGCAUUUCCGGAAUGAUCUUCUGCACUCUGGACUGCCCGCCAUUUUUAAAUUCCGAAAUUCAGUGAAGAGCCAACAUGGAAAUGGACCAAGUGACCGAGCGAUUAAUUAAAGAAGUGAGGAAAUACAGCCAGCAUGAUCCGCUCUCUUUCAGUCGCCAUUGUUCGUAGAAGCCCGCGAGGAUCGAGGAAUGUAAACACAGUGGAACCCGCUCGCGUCAACUAGCGUUUCGGCGGUGAAACUGCAGAGCAAAACAGACAUACGCAGAAGUAUAAAUGCUUACGACGGCGUCGCCUACGUGCGUAGCCUACGACGUACACUACGCCGUACACUCGACGCAGAAGUAUAAAUUGGCCUUAUUAUCAGUGUUAAAAACAGUUACAGGUCAGCUGAAUUCAUAUGCAACUCAUGAAGUCAACCAGCGCCAAUUCUUCAAUUCAGAAUUUGGAACAACCCUGGUAAGAAGCAUAAGGGGAAAAAAAAAAACACUGGACUCGAAAGGGCAGAGUCCAUUUUCAAGAUUUCCUCCAAGUGAUGGAUUUUACUGGCUGGGAGCGCUGAGCACACGUUUGGCCUUAUCGAAUGAAACAGCGCUGGAAUAUUUCACGUUGGCGUCUUCACUGUGA
ensembl:lncRNA